UUGAACGCUGGCGGCAUGCCUUACACAUGCAAGUCGAACGGUAGAGGGGCAACCCUUGAGAGUGGCGAACGGGUGAGUAAUGCAUCGGAACGUGCCCAGUCGUGGGGAUAACGCAGCGAAAGCUGUGCUAAUACCGCAUGUGAUCUGUGGAUGAAAGCAGGGACCGCAAGGCCUUGUGCGAUUGGAGCGGCCGAUGUCAGAUUAGCUAGUUGGUAGGGUAAAAG
rnacentral:rRNA from 1 species